rnacentral:misc_RNA from 1 species
GUUAAACUUAUAAAUUUAAAAAAAUUUUAUGUGAUAUAUAGCAUUUAUUGAAAUAAUGAAGAACAGUAACAUGAAGAAACCUAUUACUUAUGUUUAUGAAUUGCCAUAUAGAGAACGUAAGAAAUUCUGUGAUAUAAUGGACAUGAAUGAAAAAUGGGAAGAACUAGGAGGAAAUUAUAUGAAAUUUGAUAAUGCUACUAUUUACAAAAUAAGUAAAGCUCCCAUGCGUAAUCAUUCUCCUACCGAUGAACUUUUGACUUUGUGGGGUGAACAAAAUCAUUCAAUAAUAGAACUAUUUUAUAUUUUAUAUAAAAUGCAACAUUAUCAAGCAAUGGCUAUACUUAAAGAGUUUGUUGAUCAAAAAUAUCAUUAUGUACUUAAUCAAAGUAAUAAUUUAAGCUUCAAUAACUUUGUUAAAUGUGAGAAUGGAAGUAAUUUACAGUUUACACAGAAUGUUGGUAAUCAUAUUCAAUUUAAUUCUGACGGUAAUCAAAGGAGAGAUAUUAAUUUACAACAUGAAGAUUUAAAUACAUUAGGCAAUGCAAAUAAAAACAUCAUCUCGGAGUCAUCUGUUAUGCUCUCAUUUGCUGAAGCAUGUACACCUUUGAUAACAUAUAAAGAAUUAGAAUUAGCAACCAACUAUUGGAGUAAUAGUUGUAUUUUGGGGAAAGGUGGUUUUGGAGUUGUUUUUAAAGGAAUAUGGAAAAACACCGCAGUUGCUGUCAAACGUAUCGAACCUCGGAAAGGAGCAGAUAAAAAAUUUGAUAAUUUAGAUGCUCAAAGAGAAUCUUUAUUAGAACUUCAAUAUUUAAGCUCUUGUCGACAUGACAAUAUUUUACCUCUUUAUGGAUUUAGUAUUGGUGGUGAAAAACCAUGUUUAGUUUUUCAAUAUAUGAUUAAUGGAUCCCUUGAGGAUAGAUUACAAUGUCGGAAUGGAACUGAACCUUUAAUAUGGUACAUUCGUUUUAAAAUUGCAACAGGAACAGCUAGAGGAUUGCAGUACUUACAUAAAAUGGAUAAACCAUUAAUUCAUGGUGAUAUUAAAAGUGGAAAUAUUCUUUUGGAUCAAUAUUUUGAACCACGAAUUGGUGACUUUGGAUUGGCUCGUGAAGGACCUCUUCAAGAAUACACUCAUGUGGACGUUACCCAUGUUUAUGGAACAAAGCCAUACCUGCCAGAUGAGUUUUUGAGAGGCAAAAAAUUUUCCACUAAAGUUGAUACUUAUAGUUUUGGAGUGGUACUCUUUGAAAUUGCUACUGGAUUAAGAGCACAAGACAGUACGAGAAAUCCUAAAUAUUUAAAAGACUAUGUUGAGAAUUAUAAUUUACAAAUUUCAAAUAUUGCUGAUAAGAAGGCAGGACCUGACGAAAAAAAAGUGUUUGAAUUUCUCAUGUCUAUUGGCAAAAACUGUGUUAGUUAUAAACCUAAAGACCGUCCAGAAAUGGAACAAGUGUUCAGACAGUUGGAGUCUGAUAUGCUACAAAAAAAAAUGUUAUAUAUAGAAAAUCCUUGCUCUACUGAUGCACUUCCAUGAGAAAGAGAAAGAACAACUUUAACAACUUAAGUUAUAAGCGGAUAUUUACAUUCAUUAAGAGCAUUUUUUAUGUUAAAUAUGUUUUCCGAAUAACAAUGAAUACGUGACGGAUUGUUUAAUGUUGUUAUUAAAUUUGAAUCGAGUUGAAGUAGCAACUAUUCGUCAGAUAAUGCUGUUUCAGAUAUUUUGAAAGGUUCAGAUAUCAUGUGAUCAGGUACCACAUCAUUCGUAUUAUUUUCUGUCAAUAAUGGAACAUAAUCUGA